rnacentral:rRNA from 1 species
GACGAACGCUGGCGGCGUGCCUAAUACAUGCAAGUCGAGCGAACAGACGAGGAGCUUGCUCCUCUGACGUUAGCGGCGGACGGGUGAGUAACACGUGGAUAACCUACCUAUAAGACUGGGAUAACUUCGGGAAACCGGAGCUAAUACCGGAUAAUAUAUUGAACCGCAUGGUUCAAUAGUGAAAGACGGUUUUGCUGUCACUUAUAGAUGGAUCCGCGCCGCAUUAGCUAGUUGGUAGGGUAACGGCUUACCAAGGCGACGAUGCGUAGCCGACCUGAGAGGGUGAUCGGCCACACUGGAACUGAGACACGGUCCAGACUCCUACGGGAGGCAGCAGUAGGGAAUCUUCCGCAAUGGGCGAAAGCCUGACGGAGCAACGCCGCGUGAGUGAUGAAGGUCUUCGGAUCGUAAAACUCUGUUAUUAGGGAAGAACAAAUGUGUAAGUAACUAUGCACGUCUUGACGGUACCUAAUCAGAAAGCCACGGCUAACUACGUG